CUCCGGCCCCCAGCGCUACCCCCCCGGCGAUUCUUCUCCCAAGGUCCGAGACCCCCAUGAAGAGACGGGUGCGAGGGGCAGAGGGGCCACGGGAGGGGCUUCCAACGGGAUCAGCCCGGUCCCGGGCACGUCCCGGCCUUAGUGUGGCCCCAGGAGGGCCACAGGCUGUCGCCCCCCCCCGGGCCACCCACUCGCGGCUGUCCCAGCGCGGCCGAGCCCCGGGCCCGCUUCGCGUUUGCUUCCCCGAAGACCGGGACACCCCGACGGCACGGAGCAGCCCCGGCCCAUCUCCACAGAGUCACCACGAGCCGCCGUCUCCCCACGUCGAGGAACAGAGUUUAAAGGGAGAACUGCGGCGCUGGGGAAUGCUUUUGACCGCCGACCGGGGGGGUCAGCCCUGGGCCGGCUUUGGGGUCAGGGAAACCCGAGGAAAGCGGCCUCUUUGGGAGACGCGAUCCCCGCUUUCCCCUUUUGCUGUCGUCUUUCUGUCCCUCCCGUGGAAGCGGGGACACUCCCGCACCCCGCGGAUGGCAACGGAGGGAAACGAUCCUCUCCGAACUCCGCCGCCCCGUUAGUCUGCUUUCGGCCGCGACUUUCGCCGAGAAACCCAAAAGCGCUGAGAGCAGCACACCGUCAGUCGAGCAAAAACUUCAGCGUUUCGGAGGAGCUCUCAAAAUACAGCCCUACCUCCGCCCGCCGCCGAAACCGGACCCGUUAGAAGAGGUAAACCAUUUAGCCGGGAAGAAAAUACCAAACAAAAGCAAGCAAACAAACACACAAACCACAACAAAAAUGAAAAUGAAUCACACUCUCUCUCUAUAUAUAUAUCUCGGUAGCCUGAAGCACCUCCGAACGGGACAGUGUGGGACGGAAUGCUCCGCUGGGGCCGAGAGGGGAAACUAUGGGGAUAACGCUGCUGAGUGCGGAGUCGGGGAGCGCAGGAGAGCGAUGCGGGAGCGCGGUGUGUUUCUGACAGAGUGCGGUGGUUUAUGGGGCUGGGAUCGUAGUGCGGAAAGAGGGAAAAAGGCAAGAAAAGAAGCAAGAAAAAAAAAAAAAAGAACCCAAGAAAAACAGAAGGAAAGAUGUAAGCUAAAAAGGACACCUUUAUUGCUGGCCCGGCUUGAGAUACGCAGCUCCGGGAGCGCCGCUGAAGCGCGCGGUGGCUGCGGGGUCCUUCGGGGAGGGGGUGCCCGUUUGAAACUCAACGCGGGACACGAAAAUAAAGGAGUGACGAUAACGAAAACGGUUCCUGAUCGAACUGUUCCGAUCCCGUUUUCAAACAGGCUGCGGUGUUUCAAAACGGGUCGGGAGCACACGAUAGUUCUGAAGGUGAAAGCUGUCCUUGGGAACAGGAGAGGGAAAGUAUCAGUCACACAGAGGAAGCUUCAGGGUUGAAGAAUUAGGAAAAACCUUGUAUGAAAAGCACACACAAAGAGGAGUGUUUUUGCUCUGUUUGUCUGCAGACCUUUGAACAUGAUGAAAGUCAGUAGUUCACAGAAUCAGAGAAUCACUGAAUAUCCUGAGACGGAAUGGACCCAAAAGGAUCAUCAAGUACAACUCCUGGCUCCACACAGGACCAAACAGAAUUCAAGCUGUGUUUCUAAGAAUGCUUUCCAAGUGUUUCUUGAAUUCCAGCAAGUAUGGUACCAUGGCCAAUGCCCUGGGAAGACUUUUCCAGGCUGAAAUAUAUGUGGAAAGAGUUAGUGAGAUAGGCCACAGUAAUAAGACUGCAAGAGGGUGAAUGCCACCUUGCCAGGAAGCCAUUGGCAUCCCAGAGAAGAUCUGUUGGCCUGUGUGGUCUCACUUCCACUCUUCAGUACUCUUCAUGCUGCUGCAUCAUUUCAGAGAUACUCUGUUUUCCACUUCCUCCAGUUCUUGCACACCUCCCCUGGCCACAUCCAGUGAGUCUUCCUUCCAGCUGCAUCUCCAGGACCUCCCCAUUCCCUGACCUUGCACCGUCUACAGUAGCAGCUUCUGGUGCCCGGACUUUCCUCCUCUGUGUACUGCUCAUAUCUCCA
ensembl:lncRNA